GGUAUAUAACGCACACACUGACGGUAUAUAACACACACUGACGGUAUAUAACACACACUGACUGUAUAUAACGCACACACUGACUGUAUAUAACGCACACACUGACUGUAUAUAACACAAUCUGACGGUAUAUAACACACACUGACGGUAUAUAACACACAGUGACUGUAUAUAACGCACACACUGAUGGUAUAUAACACACACUGACGGUAUAUAACACACACUGAC